rnacentral:rRNA from 1 species
UUAAGCGACUAAGCGUACACGGUGGAUGCCCUGGCAGUCAGAGGCGAUGAAGGACGUGCUAAUCUGCGAAAAGCGCCGGCGAGGUGAUAUGAACCUUUGACCCGGCGAUGUCCGAAUGGGGAAACCCAGUGUGUUCCGACACACUAUCGUUAACUGAAUACAUAGGUUAACGAGGCGAACCGGGGGAACUGAAACAUCUAAGUACCCCGAGGAAAAGAAAUCAACCGAGAUUCCCCCAGUAGCGGCGAGCGAACGGGGAGCAGCCCGGAGUCUGAAUCAGCUUGUGUGUUAGUGGAACGGUCUGGAAAGUCCGACGGUACAGGGUGAUAGUCCCGUACACGAAAAUGCACAGGUUGUGAACUCGAAGAGUAGGGCGGGACACGUGGUAUCCUGUCUGAAUAUGGGGGGACCAUCCUCCAAGGCUAAAUACUCCUGACUGACCGAUAGUGAACCAGUACCGUGAGGGAAAGGCGAAAAGAACCCCGGCGAGGGGAGUGAAAAAGAACCUGAAACCGUGUACGUACAAGCAGUGGGAGCCUACUUGUUAGGUGACUGCGUACCUUUUGUAUAAUGGGUCAGCGACUUAUAUUCUGUAGCAAGGUUAACCGUAUAGGGGAGCCGAAGGGAAACCGAGUCUUAACUGGGCGUUAAGUUGCAGGGUAUAGACCCGAAACCCGGUGAUCUAGCCAUGGGCAGGUUGAAGGUUGGGUAACACUAACUGGAGGACCGAACCGACUAAUGUUGAAAAAUUAGCGGAUGACCUGUGGCUGGGGGUGAAAGGCCAAUCAAACCGGGAGAUAGCUGGUUCUCCCCGAAAGCUAUUUAGGUAGCGCCUCGUGAACUCAUCUUCGGGGGUAGAGCACUGUUUCGGCUAGGGGGCCAUCCCGGCUUACCAACCCGAUGCAAACUACGAAUACCGAAGAAUGUUAUCACGGGAGACACACGGCGGGUGCUAACGUCCGUCGUGAAGAGGGAAACAACCCAGACCGCCAGCUAAGGUCCCAAAGUCAUGGUUAAGUGGGAAACGAUGUGGGAAGGCACAGACAGCCAGGAUGUUGGCUUAGAAGCAGCCAUCAUUUAAAGAAAGCGUAAUAGCUCACUGGUCGAGUCGGCCUGCGCGGAAGAUGUAACGGGGCUAAACCAUGCACCGAAGCUGCGGCAGCGACACUAUGUGUUGUUGGGUAGGGGAGCGUUCUGUAAGCCGUUGAAGGUGGCCUGUGAGGGUUGCUGGAGGUAUCAGAAGUGCGAAUGCUGACAUAAGUAACGAUAAAGCGGGUGAAAAGCCCGCUCGCCGGAAGACCAAGGGUUCCUGUCCAACGUUAAUCGGGGCAGGGUGAGUCGACCCCUAAGGCGAGGCCGAAAGGCGUAGUCGAUGGGAAACAGGUUAAUAUUCCUGUACUUGGUGUUACUGCGAAGGGGGGACGGAGAAGGCUAUGUUAGCCGGGCGACGGUUGUCCCGGUUUAAGCAUGUAGGCGGAGGUUCCAGGUAAAUCCGGUACCUUUUAACGCUGAGGUGUGAUGACGAGGCACUACGGUGCUGAAGUAACAAAUGCCCUGCUUCCAGGAAAAGCCUCUAAGCAUCAGGUAACAUCAAAUCGUACCCCAAACCGACACAGGUGGUCAGGUAGAGAAUACCAAGGCGCUUGAGAGAACUCGGGUGAAGGAACUAGGCAAAAUGGUGCCGUAACUUCGGGAGAAGGCACGCUGAUAUGUAGGUGAAGCCCCUGCGGGUGGAGCUGAAAUCAGUCGAAGAUACCAGCUGGCUGCAACUGUUUAUUAAAAACACAGCACUGUGCAAACACGAAAGUGGACGUAUACGGUGUGACGCCUGCCCGGUGCCGGAAGGUUAAUUGAUGGGGUUAGCGGUAACGCGAAGCUCUUGAUCGAAGCCCCGGUAAACGGCGGCCGUAACUAUAACGGUCCUAAGGUAGCGAAAUUCCUUGUCGGGUAAGUUCCGACCUGCACGAAUGGCGUAAUGAUGGCCAGGCUGUCUCCACCCGAGACUCAGUGAAAUUGAACUCGCUGUGAAGAUGCAGUGUACCCGCGGCAAGACGGAAAGACCCCGUGAACCUUUACUAUAGCUUGACACUGAACACUGGUCCUUGAUGUGUAGGAUAGGUGGGAGGCUUUGAAGCGUGGACGCCAGUCUGCGUGGAGCCGACCUUGAAAUACCACCCUUUAAUGGCUGGUGUUCUAACGUAGACCCGUAAUCCGGGUUGCGGACAGUGUCUGGUGGGUAGUUUGACUGGGGCGGUCUCCUCCCAAAGAGUAACGGAGGAGCACGAAGGUUAGCUAAUCCUGGUCGGACAUCAGGAGGUUAGUGCAAUGGCAUAAGCUAGCUUGACUGCGAGAGUGACGGCUCGAGCAGGUGCGAAAGCAGGUCAUAGUGAUCCGGUGGUUCUGAAUGGAAGGGCCAUCGCUCAACGGAUAAAAGGUACUCCGGGGAUAACAGGCUGAUACCGCCCAAGAGUUCAUAUCGACGGCGGUGUUUGGCACCUCGAUGUCGGCUCAUCACAUCCUGGGGCUGAAGUAGGUCCCAAGGGUAUGGCUGUUCGCCAUUUAAAGUGGUACGCGAGCUGGGUUUAGAACGUCGUGAGACAGUUCGGUCCCUAUCUGCCGUGGGCGCUGGAGAAUUGAGGGGGGCUGCUCCUAGUACGAGAGGACCGGAGUGGACGCAUCACUGGUGUUCGGGUUGUCAUGCCAAUGGCACUGCCCGGUAGCUAAAUGCGGAAGAGAUAAGUGCUGAAAGCAUCUAAGCACGAAACUUGCCCCGAGAUGAGUUCUCCCUGAGACUAUAAGUCUCCUGAAGGAACGUUGAAGACGACGACGUUGAUAGGUCGGGUGUGUAAGCGCAGCGAUGCGUUGAGCUAACCGAUACUAAUGAACCGUGAGGCUUAACCU